rnacentral:rRNA from 1 species
AAUAGAUACCCUGGUAGUCCACGCCGUAAACGUUGGGCGCUAGAUGUGGGGACCAUUCCACGGUUUCCGUGUCGCAGCUAACGCAUUAAGCACCCCGCCUGGGGAGUACGGCCGCAAGGCUAAAACUCAAAGGAAUUGACGGGGGCCCGCACAAGCGGCGGAGCAUGCGGAUUAAUUCGAUGCAACGCGAAGAACCUUACCAAGGCUUGGCAUAUACGAGAACGCUCUAGAAAUAGAGAACUCUUUGGACACUCGUAUACAGGUGGUGCGUGGUUGUCGUCAGCUCGUGUCGUGAGAUGUUGGGUUAAGUCCCGCAACGAGCGCAACCCUCGUUCUAUGUUGCCAGCGGUUCGGCCGGGAACUCAUAGGAGACUGCCGGGGUCAACGUCGGAGGAAGGUGGGGAUGACGUCAAAUCAUCAUGCCCCUUAUGUCUUGGGCUUCACGCAUGCUACAAUGGCCGGUACAAAGGGCUGCAAUACCGUAAGGUGGAGCGAAUCCCAAAAAGCCGGUCUCAGUUCGGAUUGAGGUCUGCAACUCGACCU